CAGUGCAUAAUGGUAGUCCAUUUUUGUGGUCAACUCUUAGCAAGGAUCGAAUCCACUCCACCAGCUUUGAGAAAUGUCUUAUGCAAGCUGCAGCUCAGCAGAUAGUACCUAAGAAUGGUGUGUUUGUGACUUGCUUUUCCCAAAAUUUUCCAGCCGGAUGUCAGAAUUCCAUCCAGAUUGUCAAUUUCCAAGCUUAAAACUGGCAAGACUUUCUAAGAGGCCUCCCGUUUUUUGGGGGGUGGGGGAGAUGGGGUGGGGGCGGGGCGGGAGGAAGUCGACUCAAAACAAAGCCCCACAUCACCUUUCUAAUAGUUUUGUACUAGAAAAUAUUCCCAGGCUAAAAACACUCUGGGCGAGAGCGAGUCUUAGCUAAGAAUUCUCUUUUUCGGAAGAGCGCGUCCACUUCGAAGCCAGGGACGAAAGGCCUGGGAAGACCCUGGCCAGACCACACUGCAGGAAGCCAUGCAAGCCUGGCAGAAGAGAGGGAGCAGUGAUUGGACCAGGAUGGAAACAGCCCUGCAAGAAGGAUAGGGAGAUCCAAAUGCAAAGGCAGCAGCAAGGCUUUUCCUGGUUACACUUGCAGUUGUGACCCCAGCUUUGAGAGCCAUUAAUUCUUCUCCAUCUGCUUGGAUGGAUGGCUUAGGCAACCCUGGGCAUCACAGUCGUGUGCACAGCAGAGCACUGUAAAAAUCUGGGACAGCAUCAGCAUGGAAAAUAGCAUUGAUUCUCUGGA